rnacentral:rRNA from 1 species
AUUGAACGCUGGCGGCAUGCUUUACACGUGCAAGUCGAACGGUAACAGGCCGCAAGGUGCUGACGAGUGGCGAACGGGUGAGUAAUGCAUCGGAACGUGCCCAGUCGUGGGGGAUAACGCAGCGAAAGCUGCGCUAAUACCGCAUACGAUCUAUGGAUGAAAGCGGGGGACCGUAAGGCCUCGCGCGAUUGGAGCGGCCGAUGUCAGAUUAGGUAGUUGGUGGGGUAAAGGCUCACCAAGCCGACGAUCUGUAGCUGGUCUGAGAGGACGACCAGCCACACUGGGACUAAGACACGGCCCAGACUCCUACGGGAGGCAGCAGUGGGGAAUUUUGGACAAUGGGCGCAAGCCUGAUCCAGCAAUGCCGCGUGCAGGAAGAAGGCCUUCGGGUUGUAAACUGCUUUUGUACGGAACGAAACGGUCCUGGUUAAUACCCGGGGCUAAUGACGGUACCGUAAGAAUAAGCACCGGCUAACUACGUGCCAGCCGCCGCGGUAAAAC